AUACAGCACAGCAGAGAACAUUCCUCUUCCUGCCUCUCACUCCUGUCAAGCACCUCCAGUCUGGCCUGGGAAGUUUCUGCACCAAGAGACCUAGUCGCUAUUUUCCCUUAGAUUGAACACUAUCCCUUCAACCCAGCGAUAGGGCAGAGAAGGUGGCGUACCAGGGGUUUGAGUGGCAGCCCAGCUCUUCUGGCAGGCAUGCUUGAAGCUGAAGUCCACUUUAGCAAGGAGAAAGAACGUGCUCACCUGGGCUGGUAAAUAACGAUUGAUCCCCAUUCAAGGCAGAGGACUGAUGGUAAUUUCUCAAAGACCUGUGCAGUGCUCUCUUCUUCUGGAUGUUUGGUUAUCUUC